UUGGUAAGGCUUAAUUUGGUACUGAGGCCCAUAUAAUGCUAUUAGAUAAAAUUGAGUUGGGAUAAAAGCAUUUAGGGAUUUGGUUUUAUAUUCUCUGGUGGAACCGUAAAAAAUAUACUUAUAUGUAAUGCAAUAUUACACACGUAACGCAAUCUCCCUGCAAUCCCAAACAAAAUCUUGACCCAUGACAAUUGUCUCAAAUAUUUUUUAAGCAAACAUUGUGAUCAAAUUGCUUAAUUAAAUAUCAUUAAUAUGUAUAUAUCAUAUUAUGUAUUAAUUAUUUUACUUAUUUAAUACUAAUAUUAUCGACUAUUUAUUUAUAUAUAUAGAGAGAGCGUUACUUUUUUUAUGAUGAAUAAAACUGGUUUUAUUAAAUGACUAGAAUUGUAUAAGAGAUAGAGUAUUCAAUCUUAGUGGUUGUGCCACACUUUAGAAAGACCCAAUUAGAAUCAUGCACUUCUGUUUUAAUUACAUCGUACACCAACUCUAAAUUUGAUUGAAAUACGAUCUAUCCGCUGCGAAGCGCGGGCCCUACACUAGUAUAUAUAGAUAGAGAGAGAGAGAGAAAGAGAGAGAGAGAGAGAGAGAGAGAGAGUUUUGCUAAAAUACUAUCGGUAGUAAAUGACUCGGUUUACUACCGAUUUGCUUUCGAUGGUAGAGAUUUCAAAUUGAAGAUCGGUACCGUUAGACAUUAUCUAAACUAUUUAAACUAUCUGGAAAUCACAUUUCACACAUUUCUGAUAUUGUUCUCUCGUCCAUUAAGUGAACAGAAAAAUAAAUGGUUGAAAAUGAAUACCCUUUAAAAAGUGAUGAUACAAUUUUUGUAUUUAAGAUCUAGAAACUAGAUCCUUAUUUUAAAUAGUUUAAAGAAUUUUCUAACAAAAAUUUAGUUGAUUUGAACUCUUCUUUACCAUUAAACGAGCAAAUGCACCAUAUCAUCAAUUAAAAUUACAGAUUUUGUGACCCUUUGAUUGUUCUAUUGGUACUGUCAAAAAAUCAUGAAAUUUGAUUUCUAGGUAAUUUAAAUGAUCUAUAUCAUGUUCAAUGAUGCUGAUCGUCGAUUUGAAAGCUC
rnacentral:lncRNA from 1 species